rnacentral:lncRNA from 1 species
UCUAGAAAAAUCACUAGGAAGAAUUUUGAUCACAACGGCAUUUUAUUUCUUCUUAAUACUAAUUUUCUUUAAAAAAAAAAAAAAAAGGUCUGACUUUCAAGUUCACAGUUUUGUGGUGCUUUUGUUGUUUUUCUUUGUUUGUUUUUUUUGUUUUGUUUUGUUUUGUUUCACUAGAUUUACAUGAUUUUCCCCAUAUGAUAAUUCAGUGAUUUCAUUUGAAUGUGGACUGUUUCAGCUUAAGGCCACACGAAGACCCACAUUCUUUGUGCUGAUACAUUCACAGAAAUUAGUACAGCAUGAUGUAGGCAAAAUCUUCCACACGAUUGCUUUGGGUCUUACUGAUCUAGAGCAUUUCUGUUAUAGAAAAUUAAGUAUCUUUGUGAUGUUUUGUUUUUAAACCACAAGUUUGGUCUCAUUUCUUAGAGUAGAAUAUAGAUAUUAUAACUGUUUUUUGUGAUAUUAAGCUAUACCACUUUCAGUUACAGUUUACACACUGAUUUGAUACUUAAGUGAACAGGGCUGUGCAAAUGCAACAUACCCAGUUAUUUUUAUUUAUUUUAUUAAGGUUUUUUGGUCUAUGCCACUUCUGCAAUGAAUGUAAGAGAGAUGAAAAAACAGAUAUCAGCCAAUCUGCGAAGUUAUGUAUUUGCAAUGAGAGAAUACAAGAAAACAUAUGAUGCAAAAAGGAGCUUUCAGCAUGAAAACCGAAAAGGAGAGUGUACACUUAAAACAAGUGGCUUUUGGUGCCUCAGCUUUGAAACAUGGAUGAUCGGACCCAGCUUCUCUCAGGCUGCUAGGUUUUCUAACUCACCGUGCUGGAAAACACACCAAUCUUGGGAAAUCAAGCUAAUGUCUCUCAGCUGUGCAGAAAAAGUGUGAACAGCUCUGUCAAAUGAGCUACCC